UACGUAGGGUGCGAGCGUUAAUCGGAAUUACUGGGCGUAAAGCGUGCGCAGGCGGUUUUGUAAGCCAGAUGUGAAAUCCCCGGGCUUAACCUGGGAAUGGCAUUUGGGACUGCAAGGCUGGAGUGUGGCAGAGGAGACUGGAAUUCCUGGUGUAGCAGUGAAAUGCGUAGAUAAUCAGGAGGAAUACCGAUGGCGGAAAGGCCAGGUC
rnacentral:rRNA from 1 species